rnacentral:rRNA from 1 species
GAUGAACGCUGGCGGCGUGCCUAAUACAUGCAAGUCGAGCGAACGGACGAGAAGCUUGCUUCUCUGAUGUUAGCGGCGGACGGGUGAGUAACACGUGGAUAACCUACCUAUAAGACUGGGAUAACUUCGGGAAACCGGAGCUAAUACCGGAUAAUAUUUUGAACCGCAUGGUUCAAAAGUGAAAGACGGUCUUGCUGUCACUUAUAGAUGGAUCCGCGCUGCAUUAGCUAGUUGGUAAGGUAACGGCUUACCAAGGCAACGAUGCAUAGCCGACCUGAGAGGUGAUCGGCCACACUGGAACUGAGACACGGUCCAGACUCCUACGGGAGGCAGCAGUAGGGAAUCUUCCGCAAUGGGCGAAAGCCUGACGGAGCAACGCCGCGUGAGUGAUGAAGGUCUUCGGAUCGUAAAACUCUGUUAUUAGGGAAGAACAUAUGUGUAAGUAACUGUGCACAUCUUGACGGUACCUAAUCAGAAAGCCACGGCUAACUACGUG